CCUACGGGAGGCAGCAGUGGGGAAUUUUGGACAAUGGGCGAAAGCCUGAUCCAGCCAUGCCGCGUGAGUGAAGAAGGCCUUCGGGUUGUAAAGCUCUUUCAGCCGGAAAGAAAUCGCGCAGGAUAAUACUCUGCGUGGAUGACGGUACCGGCAGAAGAAGCACCGGCUAACUACGUGCCAGCAGCCGCGGUAAUACGUAGGGUGCGAGCGUUAAUCGGAAUUACUGGGCGUAAAGCGUGCGCAGGCGGUUAUGUAAGACAGAUGUGAAAUCCCCGGGCUCAACCUGGGAACUGCGUUUGUGACUGCAUAACUAGAGUACGGCAGAGGGAGGUGGAAUUCCGCGUGUAGCAGUGAAAUGCGUAGAGAUGCGGAGGAACACCGAUGGCGAAGGCAGCCUCCUGGGCCAGUACUGACGCUCAUGCACGAAAGCGUGGGGAGCAAACAGGAUUAGAUACCCUGGUAGUCCACGCCCUAAACGAUGUCAACUAGUUGUUGGGGGGGUAAAACCCUUUAGUAACGUAGCUAACGCGUGAAGUUGACCGCCUGGGGAGUACGGCCGCAAGGUUAAAACUCAAAUGAAUUGACGG
rnacentral:rRNA from 1 species